rnacentral:SRP_RNA from 1 species
GCCGGGCAUGGUGGCGCAUGCCUGUAAUCCCAGCUACUUGGGAGGCUGAGGCAGGAGAAUCGCUUGAACCCGGGAGGCAGAGGUUGCAGUGAGCCGAAAUCAUGCCACUGCACUCCAGCCUGGGUGACAGAACAAGACUCUGUCUCAA